rnacentral:rRNA from 1 species
GGAUUAGAUACCCUGGUAGUCCACGCCCUAAACGAUGGGUGCUAAUUGUCGGGACUUUAUGUUUCGGUGAUGUAGCUAACGCGUUAAGCACCCCGCCUGGGGAGUACGGUCGCAAGAUUAAAACUCAAAGGAAUUGACGGGGACCCGCACAAGCGGUGGAGCAUGUGGUUUAAUUCGAUGCAACGCGAAAAACCUUACCAGGCCUCGACAUCUAGGGGAACCUUGGCAGAGAUGCCUUGGGUGGAGCAAUCUACUCCUAGACAGGUGUUGCAUGGCUGUCGUCAGCUCGUGCCG